rnacentral:rRNA from 1 species
UUAAAAGAAAAUUACUUAAAAAAAUAUAAUUUUAUUUUAAAUUUAAUAAAAAUAAUUUUAAUAAAAUAAAUUUUUGUAAAUUUUAUUGAUAAAAUAAUUUUAGUGAUAGAAAAAUAGUAUAGUAAUAGAAUUUAAUUAUUUAUAAUUAUUAAAAAAGUAAUAUUAUUUAUAUGUACCUUUUGUAUCAGGGUUUAUUAAAAAAAAAUUAAGAAGUUUAAUUAUCUCGAAUUUAAAAGAGUUAAAGUUUUAUAAAAUUUAUUGUUAUAAAAAUAUUUUAAAUAAAAUUUUAGUAAUGAAAUGUUAUUCGUUUUUAAAUAUAUCUAGUUUUUUAAGAAGUGAAUUGAAUUCAGAUAUUUUUUUAAAGAAAUUUAUUUAAAAUAAUAUAAUUUGGAAAAAAUAUUAAAAAUUUUAGGGAUUAGCUUAAAAUUUUAUUUAUAAAAAAAAAUAAAUAAAAAAAAUAAUAGGAUUAGAAAUUUUCAAUUUUUAAUAAAAUGUUAUAAUUAAUUUAUAAAAUAAUCUUAUUUAUAAAAUUUUAAAUAAAUUUAUUAAAAUAAAAUUUUAAAUAAAUAAAGUUUGGAAUAAUGAUAAAAUUAGUAUUAUUUAAAUUAAAAAUAAAAAUGUUAUAAUAAAGAUAAAAAUAAGGAAUUCAGCAAAAAUAAAAUACUCACCUGUUUAUCAAAAACAUGUCUUUUUGAGAAUAAUUUAAAGUCUGACCUGCCCACUGAUAAAAAUUAAAGGGCCGCAGUAUAUUGACUGUGCAAAGGUAGCAUAAUCAUUUGUCUUUUAAUUGAAGGCUGGAAUGAAUGGUUGAAUGAAGUAUUAACUGUCUCAUUUUUAAAAUGUUAAGAAUUUAGUUUUUAAGUUAAAAAGCUUAAAUAAAUUUAAAGGACGAGAAGACCCUAUAGAUCUUUAUAAUAAAAAUUUAAUUUAUAAAGUUGAAUUAAAUAUAUUAUUAAAUAAUUUAUUAUUUCAUUGGGGUGAUGAAAAAAUUUAUAAAACUUUUUUUAAAAUAAAACAUAGAUUAAUGAAUAGUUGAUCCAAUAAUAAUGAUUAAAAGAUUAAGUUACCUUAGGGAUAACAGCGUAAUUUUUUUGAAGAGUUCUUAUCGAUAAAAAAGAUUGCGACCUCGAUGUUGAAUUAAAGAUUAUUUUUAAAUGAAGAAGUUUAAAGUUUAGGUCUGUUCGACCUUUAGAUCUUUACAUGAUUUGAGUUCAAACCGGUGUAAGCCAGGUUGGUUUCUAUCCUUAAUUAAUAAAUAUAUUUUAGUACGAAAGGACCAAAUAUAUAAAAAAUUUUUUAAAAAUAUGAAUAAUAUU